CCAAGUCUGAGCCAAUCAGAAGACGCCAGGGCUGUGCCGCCGAGACUGGGCCGCGGCGGAGCAGCUCCAGGUGAAAAUGAGUUCUUCAGUAAGAAGAAAAGGCAAGCCAGGCAAAGGAAGUGGGAAAGGGUCUUCUAGAGGAGGAAGAGGAGGCAGGAGUAACGCUAGUAAAUCUCACGGUGGCGGCGGCAGUGGUGGCAAUAGAAAGGCCUCAAGUAGAACUUGGGAUGAUGGCGAUGACUUUUGUAUCUUCAGUGAAUCAAGGUCCUCAGCCAGACAUAGCAACAGUAACGUAAGAAAAGGAGACACACGCCCCAAAUGGAAGCCCAAAGCCAAAGUGCCCUUACAGACUCUCCAUAUGACUUCUGAGAAUCAAGAGAAAGUGAAAGCUCUUCUCCGAGACCUGCAAGAACAAGAUGCGGAUGCUGGAUCUGAAAGAAGCAUCUCUGGGGAAGAGGAGGAGGAUGAGCCUGACUGUGAUGACGCGCAGUACUGGUUGGCUGGACAAGAAGCUUCCCUUGUUCCCGACGCUGAUCCUUCAGAUUAUGCUGGCUCAGGCCCAGUGGAGCCUUAUAAUCCAGAACUUAUAGUCUCAACAGUUGCAGUACAAAAACUUUCCAGGUAUGGUUUCAACACUGAACGCUGUCAGGCAGCCCUGAGGGUUUGUGACGGAGAUGUGGGGGCAUCACUAGAAUAUCUGCUCAUCCAGUGUUUUUCCGAGACAUUUGGAGAGAGGAUGAAAAUCUCUGAGGCAGUUGCACAUAUGAGUGAGGAUGAGUGUGUGGAACCGCGACAGGAAGAGGCAUUUGCUCUCAAGUCAAUCUGUGGAGAAAAAUUCGUGGAAAGAAUUCAGAACAGAGUUUGGACCAUUGGAUUAGAACUGGAGUAUUUGACAAGUAAAUUCCGCAAAUCCAAGCAAAAGGAAAGUACCAAAAAUAUACAGGAGACUUCACUUGAUAUCUGUAAAUUUUACCUCAAAGGAAACUGUAAAUUUGGAUCAAAAUGCAAAUUCAAACAUGAAGUGCCCCCAAAUCAAAUUGUUGGAAGAGUAGAAAGAAGUGUAGAUGAUUCUCACCUUAAUGCUCAUGAAGAUGAAUCUUUUUUAUAUGAACUUGAAAUUCGAUUUUCUAAAGACCACAAAUACCCCUAUGAAGCUCCCCUGGUGGCAUUUUAUUCCACCAAUGAGAGUCUACCUCUGGCUUGUCGUUUACAUAUUUCUGAGUUCCUUUAUGGCAAGGCCUUGACUUUUGCAGAAACUGCAGAACCUGUUGUAUAUUCUUUGAUUACCCUUUUAGGGGAAGAAUCAGAAAUAGUCAAUCUACUAACAAAUACCCAUCACAAGUACAGUGAUCCUCCAGUGAACUUUCUGCCAGUAUCCUCUGGGAUCAGAAUAACUAAUCCUUUCUGUCGUAAACCAGUGAUUCCACAUAAUUCUUUUGUUUCAAGUCGAAUUCCAGAAGUUGAAAAAGAAUCAUUACCUGAGGAGGAGACAGAUGAGGAUGAAGGUCCUGCACCAGUGGUAGUGGAGAAUGAAAGCUAUGUGAACCUUAAGAAAAAGAUUUCCAAAAGAUAUGACUGGCAGGCAAAAUCAGUACAUGCUGAGAAUGCUAAAAUCUGCAAGCAGUUCCAAAUAAAACAGACCUCCAGACAGUUCCAGUCAAUUCUGCAAGAAAGACAGUCACUGCCUGCUUGGGAAGAAAGAGAAACCAUUCUUAAAUUGUUGAGCAAGCACCAAGUACUUGUUAUCAGUGGUAUGACUGGAUGUGGGAAAACCACACAGAUUCCACAGUUCAUAUUGGAUGAGUCUCUGAACGGACCACCGGAGAAGGUGGCUAACAUCAUCUGCACCCAACCCCGACGAAUCUCUGCCAUCUCUGUCGCUGAGCGUGUUGCUAAAGAGCGAGCAGAAAGGGUGGGUCUGACUGUGGGAUACCAGAUCCGCUUGGAGAGUGUCAAGUCCUCAGCCACCAGGCUGCUAUACUGCACCACAGGAGUGCUGCUGAGAAGGCUUGAAGGAGACACAGCCCUACAAGGAGUCACCCAUAUCAUUGUUGAUGAAGUCCAUGAGAGGACAGAAGAAAGUGACUUCUUGCUGCUAGUUUUGAAGGACAUUGUGUUGCAGAGACCAACGCUCCAAGUUAUUCUGAUGAGUGCAACUUUAAAUGCUGAGCUCUUUUCAGAGUAUUUCAGUUCCUGCCCAGUUAUUACUAUACCAGGUCGUACUUUUCCAGUUGAUCAGUUUUUUCUGGAAGAUGCAAUUGCUGUGACAAGGUACGUGAUACCGGAUGGGAGCCCAUAUAUGCGCUCCAUGAAACAGAUGUCAAAGGAGAAGCUUAAAGCAAGGCGCAGCAGAACUGCGUUUGAAGAAGUAGAGGAAGACCUGAGGCUUUCCCUUCACCUCCAGGAUCAGGAUUCUGUCAGAGAUGCAGUGCCAGAUCAGCAGUUAGAUUUUAAGCAGCUCCUGGCCCGCUAUAAAGGGGUUAGCAAAUCAGUCAUCAAAACGAUGUCCAUCAUGGAUUUUGAAAAGGUUAAUCUUGAAUUAAUCGAGGCCUUGUUAGAAUGGAUUGUGGAGGGAAAGCACUCCUACCCCCCAGGUGCUAUACUUGUAUUUUUACCGGGAUUGGCAGAAAUCAAAAUGCUUUAUGAACAGCUACAGUCUAAUUCUCUUUUCAACAACAGACGUAGUUAUCGAUGUGUUGUUCACCCACUUCAUUCAUCUUUAUCCAGUGAAGAGCAGCAAGCUGUGUUCAUAAAACCUCCUGUAGGUGUAACUAAGAUUAUAAUUUCCACCAACAUUGCUGAGACAUCCAUAACCAUUGAUGAUGUUGUCUAUGUCAUCGAUUCUGGGAAAAUGAAAGAAAAGAGAUAUGAUGCCAGCAAAGGGAUGGAAAGUCUAGAGGAUACUUUUGUCUCUCAAGCCAAUGCUCUGCAAAGAAAAGGACGAGCUGGUCGUGUUGCAUCUGGGGUCUGCUUUCAUUUGUUCACUAGCCAUCACUUCAGUCACCAGCUUUUAAAGCAGCAGCUGCCAGAAAUACAAAGAGUGCCAUUGGAACAGCUCUGUCUAAGAAUUAAAAUUUUGGAAAUGUUUAGCACUCAUAAUCUCCAAUCAGUGUUCUCUCGGCUCAUUGAACCACCACACCCUGAUUCUCUUCGUGCCUCAAAAAUACGAUUACGAGACUUGGGAGCAUUAACUACAGAUGAAAAACUGACUCCCCUUGGGUAUCACUUAGCCUCUCUGCCUGUGGAUGUGAGAAUUGGCAAACUGAUGCUAUUUGGGUCUAUCUUCCGCUGUUUGGAUCCUGCUCUCACCAUCGCUGCCAGUUUGGCUUUUAAAUCUCCUUUUGUGUCUCCCUGGGAUAAAAAAGAGGAAGCUAACCAGAAAAAGUUAGAAUUUGCAUUCGCAAACAGUGAUUAUCUGGCCCUUCUACAAGCAUAUAAGGGGUGGCAGCUAAGUCUGAAAGAAGGUAUGCGAACAAGUUAUAAUUACUGCAGACAGAACUUCUUGUCGGGCAGGGUUCUUCAGGAAAUGGCCAGUCUCAAACGGCAAUUUACUGAACUGUUAUCAGAUAUAGGCUUUGCAAAGGAGGGACUCAGAGCCAGAGAAAUUGAGAAAAGGGCCCUGGGAGGAGAUGGCAUCCUGGAAGCCACAGGAGAAGAGGCAAAUUCAAAUGCUGAGAACCCCAAGCUGAUAUCAGCAAUGCUGUGUGCUGCUCUGUAUCCAAAUGUAGUGCAGGUGAAAAGCCCAGAAGGGAAGUUUCAGAAGACCAGUACUGGAGCUGUCAGAAUGCAACCAAAAUCAGAUGAGCUGAAGUUUGUCACCAAGAACGAUGGAUAUGUGCACAUUCACCCUUCAUCAGUGAACUAUCAGGUCAGACACUUUGACAGCCCCUACCUGCUGUACCACGAGAAGAUCAAAACUAGUCGGGUGUUCAUCCGCGACUGCAGCAUGGUGUCUGUGUACCCACUGGUCUUGUUCGGAGGAGGCCAAGUGAAUGUGCAGCUUCAAAGGGGAGAGUUCGUUGUCUCCUUGGAUGAUGGUUGGAUUCGUUUUGCGGCUGCUUCGCAUCAGGUGGCUGAGUUAGUGAAGGAAUUGCGCUGCGAGCUUGACCAGCUCCUCCAGGACAAGAUCAAGAACCCGAGCAUAGACCUGUGCAUGUGUCCUCGAGGAUCCCGCAUCAUCAGCACGAUUGUGAAGCUUGUCACCACGCAAUAAAGACCCGUCUUAGGAGAGUGCUUGCUACUCACCUGCUUCUUGUUCACCCGGGAAACAGCAGCAGCACCUCUACCUCGAACUCAAGCUCUGUGCUGGGCUGGCCCUGAUGAAGGAGCCCAGGGCCUGCACUGCCCAGGCUGCCAAGACACCGCAUUCCCUUAGGGAAAUUGUCCAGACUGAGUGUUUCUAACAGCAGUGGGCACUCCCAGCACAAUUGGAGUGUCGUGGCUCAACUGAGAGAAGUUAGAACAGAGAAGAAAAAAAAUCAUGUGAGCAAGAAAGAUUAAAAUUUCAUUGUAGGCUAUUGGCUACAGAGUAAACUUGAUUUGUGAGGGAUUUUUAUUUUUACUCAUUCAAGGUAAGCCUUAAAAAACAAACUUAAUGAGCUCUUAAUUGUUAUUAAAAUACAAUUCUCUGUAAAGGGCACAUAUCUGGGUUGCAGGUUCAAUCCCGGCCCCAGUUGGGGCGCAUGCGGUCUUAUCCAGAACACUCUAAUUCUUAAAAGCAGAACUGUCUGAGUGUCUUUAUUCUCUUGUAGGUUUUCCAUUUAGAAAUUACUUUCUUCUGAACUCACCCGGAUCUAAUGGCCACAUUUCACAUUACCUAAAAGGAAUUUUAAUGGUAUUCUCAGAGCAAAGUUGGCAUGGUUGAGGGAGAAAGGGUUGCCAUGCCAGUGUCAGAUUUACAGCCAUAAAAAUGCCUUCCAUGAGACUUAUUUCAGCCACCACUUAGGUUAAUGGGGCACUGGCAUUUUGAAAAAAUAGGAGUACAUGUAUAUUUUCCCCGGGCAUUUAUCAGUGUGGCCAGGAAGAAUCCCAAAGAACUGGGUGGAAAAAUAUUCCUGUUUGUCUAGCCCUCGGGUUUCAUACCAUAGCUAACAUUCAAACUAAUCGAGAAAAACCACCUCAAUGAAGGGUGUUCCCUUUUUAAGAUUUUAUUUUAGUUAAAUAAGACUCUUAGACUGUCCAAAUUGAUCAUUAUGAGGUGUAUUUAAGCACCAGUGCACUUAAGCAGAGUGCAGACAGUAUCCAAGCCCUGACUUGCUAUUGAAACAGGCUCAGAUUACAAAAAUGAUUAGGCUUGGACACUUAGGAGAAAUGAAGACUAAAACUGCACUGAGCCUCUAAACAAGUUUGUAAAAGCCGUUUUGACUCUUGGUGCUAUAGUGGAGCACGUGCUGCCCUAGCGGAGCCGUGGGGACUGGUCACAUGUUUGCAGCAGAGCACACAGCUGGGAGCGCGCUGACUACAAAACUUCCGGUUCCAAGAGCUGAGAAGUUGCUCCCCUCAGGAAGCCCUUCUUGGGCUGGUUACUGGCAGCCACAUACAAAUGCACAAAUCCUAUCCUUUCAUAGGUGGCCAGGAUGUGAAAAGGUUGGACACCUUGAAUAAGAAAAUCCUCACCCCAAAACUCUUAAAAUUUAUGAACUAUGAAAAAAGAUUACUCCUUUGUGAUUAAAGGUCAAAAUGCAGUAUAGUAUUUCACUGUGGCCUGGAUUUCUAAGCCCCAACAAGAUUGUCAGCACGUAAUGUUAAUUUUGUUAAGAACUCUGUGGAUGUUUUCUUAAAUAUUUGUUUUACUUUUACUGGAUUCUAGUUAGGGAAUCGUAUUAAUAAAAUACUGGCUACAAAAUUAGUCUGCACUACUGUUUUGUACUAUGUCUAGCUGAGUUCUCAGAAAAUUAGAAGAGCUAACCAUUCUUACAGAGGUGGUCAUAGGUUGACAGAGCAUUAGCUCUGUCUUCCUCCUGGACUUCAUAUCUGGUUAGAGCGUAGGCCUGCGCACGAGAGGGUCACACAUUCAAUUCUCUGUAAAGGGCACAUAUCUGGGUUGCAGGUUCAAUCCCGGCCCCAGUUGGGGCGCAUGCGGGAGGCAACCAAUGGAUGUAUCUCUCUCACAUCGAUGCGUUUUCCCUCUCUCUCUUCCUCUUUCUCUCUCCCUCUCCCUCUCCCAAAAUGGAAAAUAUCCUCAGGUGAAGACAGGUGAAGACUAACAACAGCAAAAAAGAAUUUGAGAAAAUUCUGUAUACAAAUAAGAAAAGUGAUGCACAUAUGGGUAGAGAUAUCUUUAAAAUAUCCUACCAUUAAAAACAAAAACAAAGUCCUGCCAUUAAACUUUGUUUUUUAAAGCACUUACUUUGAAAAUGUGAAAAUAAGUUAAACUGUGCCUUUCGAAGAUAUGACUUAUGUGUGAUUCUGUUACUGCUAACACUUUCCACUUUGAAACUCGGGUUCUCGCACUUAGGCCCACAUUAAAAAGUUUAAAAUACACACACACACACACACACACACACACACACACACACCCUUACCUUAUCUUUGUGUUGUCUUAAAAGAGUCCAACCUAGUAGACUUUGGCCAAUAUACUAAACACAAAUAGGGUUAAAAGGAGUAUAUAGUUCUAUAGGUGUAUGACCAUAAAAUGUUUAAAUUUAACAUCAAGCCUCAUUAGGGACUAUAAUGUCUAGGCUCAGUAACCCUUCUAUAGUUUGAACUGGGGAAACCUGUUUUAGGACUUCACUAUUAGUAAGAUUACCAGAUUGAAUGUCAAAGAUGUGUUCUUUAGAAGACAGGUGUCUUUACAAAUCAGGGGCCAUGCUGUACAAUGGGCACCAAGGGCCUAGCUCAGGGGUGGGCAAACUUUUUGACUCGAGGGCCACAAUGGGUUCUUAAACUGGACCGGAGGGCCAGAACAAAAGCAUGGAUGGAGUGUUUGUGUGAACUAAUAUAAAUUCAAAGUAAACAUCAUUACAUAAAAGGGUACGGUCUUUUUUUUUUUUAGUUUUAUUCAUUUCAAAUGGGCCGGAUCCAGCCCGCGGGCCGUAGUUUGCCCACUGCUGGCCUAGCUGCAUGAGGAGGAAACAAAUCCGGGUUAGAAACCCAGAACAAUCCGCAAUUAUAGACGUUUCUGUUCAUGCCACCCUCUGUCUGAAAUUCACCUGUGCACUGUCCCAUUUAAACUCCAGCUGUCCCCAUUAUUUCUAGCCCAUAAAUCUUUAUUCCAUCCUUUUGUACAGUAAGCCUGGCUAAGACUGGACUAAUUGAAGCAUGAAGUCUGAUUAGUGAACAAGAGGCCAGUUGUUCAGUUUAUACCUACUGUGUGCUACCUAUCUAGUUUGAGACCCAUAUUGGGACCUCAGAAAUUCUUCCAUUUAUGCCAAUAUCAAUAUAACCAACUUAAACAGGUGCCAUGUGCCAGUUACCCUAGGAACUCAGGAUACUGAGAUAAGCAGGGACACAGGAAAAACAGGGUGACAAUAAAGUUUACUUGAGAAAAUUCAUCAGGAACAUAAUAUGCCCCCUGCAAGAGCCUCUGAAGGUUCUAAAAAGACUGGAUGUGUGGAAUCUAAUGAACAGAAUAAACUGAUGAACAAAAUAGAUUCAGAGACAUAGAAGCAUGGAACAACUCUGGAAUCUGAGGGAAGGU